UACAGAGGUCUCAAGCGUUGUUCGGAUUCAUUGGGCGUAAAGGGUGCGUAGGUGGCGCUGUAAGUCGGGUGUGAAAUUUCGGAGCUUAACUCCGAAACUGCAUUCGAUACUGCGGUGCUUGAGGACUGGAGAGGAGACUGGAAUUCAUGGUGUAGCUGUGAAAUGCGUAGAUAUCGUAAGGAAGACCAGUGGCGAAGGCGGGUCUCUGGACAGUUCCUGACGCUGAGGCACGAAGGUCAGGGGAGCAAACGGG
rnacentral:rRNA from 1 species